rnacentral:rRNA from 1 species
GAUGAACGCUGGCGGCGUGCCUAAUACAUGCAAGUCGAGCGAACAGAUAAGGAGCUUGCUCCUUUGACGUUAGCGGCGGACGGGUGAGUAACACGUGGGUAACCUACCUAUAAGACUGGGAUAACUUCGGGAAACCGGAGCUAAUACCGGAUAAUAUUUCGAACCGCAUGGUUCGAUAGUGAAAGAUGGUUUUGCUAUCACUUAUAGAUGGACCCGCGCCGUAUUAGCUAGUUGGUAAGGUAACGGCUUACCAAGGCGACGAUACGUAGCCGACCUGAGAGGGUGAUCGGCCACACUGGAACUGAGACACGGUCCAGACUCCUACGGGAGGCAGCAGUAGGGAAUCUUCCGCAAUGGGCGAAAGCCUGACGGAGCAACGCCGCGUGAGUGAUGAAGGUCUUCGGAUCGUAAAACUCUGUUAUUAGGGAAGAACAUACGCGUAAGUAACUGUGCACGUCUUGACGGUACCUAAUCAGAAAGCCACGGCUAACUACGUG